UGCCCAAAUAGUUCAAUUUCAAAAAUAACAUAACCAUCUAGUGUUUUAGCUGCCGCUUCACUGCUUUCAUCUUGUUACCCAACCAAUACCUCGAGAUAUUUUUUUCGACAAGAAAUUAAAAAUCCGGAAAUUGAAACACUUUCCUGAAAUCAGCCGAAGCCGAUAACGCAAUGGCGAGAGAUGUUAUCAUCUCAAACAGGGAAUGCUUUGUUCGAUACAAUCACAGGAAAUAAUAGAUUUCUAAAGUUUUCAGACUGACAUUCACUUGUACUAUAAAUGUGAAACAAAAGAUGCAUGCUUCACAAGAACCAACAACACGAGAGUUUAAUCUGUCUUGACGGAGGCCCCCUUGUUUGCAAGUUUGUCGUCGUCGUGUGUCAAAACUUUUUAUGGACCGAACAACAGAAUUUGGCAAAGAAGUUUUGUCUGUGGAGCGGGAGAUAAGAUCCGGAGUCACCACGAUGUCCCGAUGGUGCAGACGAUCAACACCUCGUGCAGUUUAGAGGGCUCCACUCGACAGCGUACAUUUCUACCUGGUCGACCGAGAGGUCGGGUUUCAGGAAACCUUUAGGCCUACCUAUAUAACUGCACGACAGACAACUAUUGUUAUUGAUGUCAUACGGGGUUUUUUCUGAACUCCAUGGACAUGCAAUGGAAUAAGAUAAGUUUCAUUCAGCUUUAAUGUAUAAAUGUAGAAUAACAUGACAACAUGAUUACUCAUAACACAGUUUGGUCAAUUGCAUCAUUAUUUACCUUGAUGUGAUCAACCUUGUAUUUUUCUUGUGAGCAUAUGAAGAAUGUUUUUUCAAAAAUAAAAUGUGUACACUGUAUUAACUGAAUAUUCAAAUGUUCAAAAAAUUCAUUAACAAAAUGUAACCAAAGCACUGUAAAAACUCUAUCAUGAACGCAGCGUGCUUUGAUAACAAAUAAUCUCGUGAGUGACUCAACACACUUCAUAUAUCCGGAAAAUGUCGUCCAAAAGUUGAACUUCCCAAAAUCUCUCUCACAAGACCCAAGCAAACCAUGAUUCAUAGCAAUCUGAAACUUCAUUCUAUCAAAUUUUACAGAAAAUAUCCCAAUAAGCCCAUUGCUUGCGAAGGUGGACUUUUGGUGUAUGGUCAUCUUGUGUAUUGGAUGCAAUUCGGUUUGAUUAAUGAGUGUAAAGGUUUCUCAUUUGUGAUGCCGAUGUUUUGAGUCAGAACAUUUAUACUGUACUGCAUAGAUGAUUCAUUCAAUGUUUAAUUGACAGGUGAAGGUCAAAGAAUGCUACAGGAAAUGCACGUGCAUAUUUGUCCGUUGUCCAAUCUUGUAAAACAAUUUGCAUAAAUGAAUUAGCAUGUAUUCUUCGAUAACAUGAAUUGUUUUCGUCAGGUAUUUUUAAGUGCAAUUUACGUACACCAUCGCUUUAUUCCGGCCGUAUAGCACGAGCGAUCGACAUGAACGGAACAUGGAAAUGCGUACUUCAUGUGAAUUACAUUUUACGAUAAAAUCUUUAUAAUGCUACAUACUACAAACAACACACGGGGAUACCUAAACAAACAGGAAGAGACUCUAAAAAGAUCAAGGUUAAAAAACAAAUCUUAUAUAUAAACAUACAGGUAGCCAAAAAUGGUAUCCAUUUGCAUAAAGGUAUUAUUUCAUUUUCUAGCAACGUCGAUAAUUAGCAUGCAGACAAGAUUUCUUCUGCACAAUUAUCCACUGUUUAACUGUUAAAUUCAAUUAUUCUAGAGAGACUUGUUGAUUACGUAAUCCUGAUGUCCUGGCGUCUCGCUGACCCGGAGCAUGAUUCAUGCGAACUAAUUAAAAAUGAUGGCGACAGAGGCCGACCUUGGCAAACACCAGCUUUCUGCUUCUAUUCUUACCAUGGAGAUUUUUUUAAAGUAUCCAAAACAGGAAACAUAGGAUAUUUGAAUAUGUCAACACAUCUUCAAGACAAUUAGUUGCGUGUGUU